AACAACUUGGCGCAGUAGGAAGCGCACGGGGCCCAUAACCCCGAAGUCCCAGGAUCGAAAACCUGGCGUUGGAC